rnacentral:rRNA from 1 species
AACGAACGCUGGCGGCAGGCCUAACACAUGCAAGUCGAACGCCCGUAGCAAUACGGGAGUGGCAGACGGGUGAGUAACGCGUGGGAACGUGCCCUUCGGUUCGGAAUAACUCAGGGAAACUUGAGCUAAUACCGGAUACGUCCGUAAGGAGAAAGAUUUAUCGCCGAAGGAUCGGCCCGCGUCGGAUUAGCUAGUUGGUGAGGUAACGGCCCACCAAGGCGACGAUCCGUAGCUGGUCUGAGAGGANGAUCAGCCACACUGGGACUGAGACACGGCCCAGACUCCUACGGGAGGCAGCAGUGGGGAAUAUUGGACAAUGGGCGAAAGCCUGAUCCAGCCAUGCCGCGUGAGUGAAGAAGGCCUUAGGGUUGUAAAGCUCUUUCAGCGGGAAGAUAAUGACGGUACCCGCAGAAGAAGCCCCGGCUAACUUCGUGCCAGCCGCCGCGGUAAU